ACUCAGGACUCUGUGCUUGCCAGGCAGGUGUUUGUGCCACUGAGCUAUAUCCCUGGUCCAAGUUCAUCACUUUUGAAAGUGCCAGACCUGUGGAAGGACGUACAAGUUGCUUCAAUGCAAAUGAAGACGUCCACUGGCUUAACAAGUUUUGGGCUUUUGAGGUAGUGUCUCUCUAUGGCAUGAGGUUGGUCUCUGACUGAAGAUCCUUCUGCCUUGGCCUUCUGACUGCUGGAAUUACAUGUGUGAGCCAUCAUGCUGAGGGACCUGCCCUGAGUACUACUUCUUGUAGUCUGUGAUAAAUGUAGCUGCUUUUCAUUUACCUGUGGAUGUAAACUUGCAAUUCUUUGCUCGCUGUAUAUCUGUCAGAUCAACUCCCCCCCCAAUCACUUGCAUUGGGUGUUGAGUAUUUGUCUCAGCAACAAGAAAAGUAACUAAAACAGUGAGCCAGCCAGGAGACGUUGGAAGAAAGACCCAUCAUGGGAAAUGCCUCAUCUAUUCCUUCCGACUCCCUGCUCAGAUGCCUCCUCACUCACUGGAAACAUUCCAUCUCCAGCCUCCUGAAUGCUGGGAUUACAGGCAUGCACUUGUGCACUGGUUUGAAGAACUGGAAUACUGCUGCUGAGAGACCCAAUGAAAAGGACCCAGGAUGAAAAGGACCUCAAAAAAAAAAAAAAGAAAAGCCUGA